UGGACCAACUUUUUGAUACAAUUUUAUUAUCUGGCCCAAAUCUUCUUUCCGUUCAUUUGUAGCCCAUUUCUCCCCACCCUGAUCAGCCUGAUACGACGGAGAACGCCGUCGAUCUCCUCUGCUAAGACUUUACUGUUCCGCUUCCCCUCCCUUUGCUGCGUUUAAGAAACGUCCACACUAAUGGCUUUCAAUCAACGAUACCCACUACAUCAUCUUUAAUGCCUUAUUAUCAAGCUCUCUCAGGGGAUUAUAUAUAUGCAGAAGAUGAGAUAUUUUUCAUGUGCAUCGUCUUGCUCCUUUAAGAUUACUGAAACCAGUCAUCGGAAACAAAGUCGUCAAACUAAGCUCUGCUCAAAAGCUCCUCCAACGAAAAAGAUUCUUUCGGUAUCAUUUCUGGUUGGUGGUUCUGGAGUGAACAUGAGAAGCACAGCCAAGGUAAUCGUUUUGUUUUAUUUACACGUUGACAAAAAAAUUAGCAAAUUUCCUGUAAAAUAGAAUCAGAAUGACAAAGCUUACUGAUCUCUGUUUGGUUUACCUUUACACUCUCCCUGGACCUGCAACCCAACCAUCAAAAUUCCUAAAAAGGAACUAUGAUUGUUCCAACACUGGUGAAGCUCCUGGGAAAAACAGUGAAGUGAUCUUAUAGGACCAUACCAUUAUAGUGUUGGAGCUGACAAGUCUUUUGGAAGGGAAGGGACAUCGUUGAUUCUCACUUCAAGGAAUGUUUGUAUGCCGGAAUUAACACCAGUACAGAUCAAUGGAGAAGUCAUGCCUGGUCAGCGGAUCUAAUAAGGGACGCUGAAUGAUUUUUCUAGAUUACACCCAGUUCCGUAACACCGCUUAAGUAUCCGUACCAGAUGUAUGUUGCGUCAUUUAUCCCUACUACCAGAUAAAUGUAGCUGUCAUUUAGAGAAGAGAUUUUUUGGGAUUGAAUAAAUGUUCUGUCUCGAUCAACCUGCAAUGUAGCUACUCUGAUGGGUGAAUAUACUCAUAUACCCAAGAAUUCAGCUGCAUAACAUCUUCACCUAGGAACGAGAGAUUGUGAUUCUCAAGCUAUGGUUUCCAAGCCAUCUCUCUCGAUUCCAAGCUAUAAUUUAUUAAUCUUUAAUAUGUAAUGUUGCAAUGUCAUAUAUAACUUGAUGUCUGAGUUACAAAGGGUGAGUUUUGGCUUUG